UGAUGGAAAAGACAUUUAGAAACCACUUGCUGCAUUCUUGGUGGUUGUGCAGAAGGCUGACCUUCUGCUUUUCGAAGAUGUACAGUUGUGUAAUUGCAUGUCUGUUUGGAG